GUAGCAAUACACGAGUGGCGCACGGGUGAGUAACGCGUGGAUAUCUGCCUUUUGGUUCGGAAUAACUCCGGGAAACUGGAGCUAAUACCGGAUGGUUCCUACGGGAUAAAGAUUUAUCGCCAAAAGAUGAGUCCGCGUACGAUUAGCUAGUUGGUGAGGUAAUGGCUCACCAAGGCGACGAUCGUUAGCUGGUCUGAGAGGACGAUCAGCCACACUGGGACUGAGACACGGCCCAGACUCCUACGGGAGGCAGCAGUGGGGAAUAUUGGACAAUGGGGGCAACCCUGAUCCAGCCAUGCCGCGUGAGUGAUGAAGGCCUUCGGG
rnacentral:rRNA from 1 species